UUCGGAUCGCCAUCCAAGUCGUCGUCGUCGUCGUCCUGCCGCCGGUCUCGUGGUCAAACUCUGUCUGAAUGUUGUCGUCCCACAUUUUAAGUUUUUAAUUGGUUUACCCAAAGUUUUUCACUUCCGUUUUUAUAUAUUUUGCGGGGCGUGUGUUGUUCAGAAAAUCGUAUCGCGUAGUGUUUAAUCAAUCUAUAUAAUCUGUUAUCUGUGUACCUUAUUUGUGAUAUCCUAACCAACAACAACAAAAUUGUUCAUAAUAACAAAUUUUGUUGCCUAACGAAACAUAAUUUAAGCCCGAAAAUUAACGGAAACUCUGCUCAGUUUCAAUUGAAUCAACGAUUACAUAAUCGCGCACAUCGGAAAAUAUGGAUUACGUAACUUUAGUGUGGCAUGCACUGUAACUGGAAAUGCAACAACUUUCCGGCCCAAAAGCUAAAUUAUAUGGCGGCCAAGUGAAAAGCCCCCGUUGAGUCGAAAUAGAGUCAUCAAAUUUUGUGCCGGCUUCACGGAAAUUAAACGCCGCCGCCGAUUCGCCACGCUUAUAUACACGGCAAUCCGCCGUGAAGUAGGCAACACAACACAUUUAUGCGCACAAGUGAUAACAGCGGAACGAACAGGACAGCG